rnacentral:rRNA from 1 species
ACGUAGGUGGCGAGCGUUGUCCGGAAUUACUGGGCGUAAAGCGCGCGCAGGCGGUUAUUUAAGUUAGAUGUGAAAACCCAGGGCUCAACUUUGGGAUUGCAUUUAAAACUGUAGAACUUGAGUACAGGAGAGGUAGGUGGAAUUCCUGGUGUAGCGGUGAAAUGCGUAGAUAUUAGGAGGAACACCAGUGGCGAAGGCGACCUACUGGACUGCAACUGACGCUGAUGCGCGAAAGCGUGGGGAGCAAACAG